rnacentral:rRNA from 1 species
UACGAAGGGUGCAAACGUUGCUCGGAAUUAUUGGGCGUAAAGCGCACGUAGGCGGCUUUGCAAGUCGGAUGUGAAAUCCCUCGGCUUAACCAAGGAAGUGCAUCCGAAACUGCAGAGCUUGAGUACUUAAGAGGAUCGCGGAAUUCCCGGUGUAGAGGUGAAAUUCGUAGAUAUUCGCAAGAACACCAGUGGCGAAGGCGGCUCACUGGCCCGAUACUGACGCUGAGGCACGAAAGCGUGGGGAGCAAACAGG